rnacentral:rRNA from 1 species
UUAUUCCUCUAAAGAGCCGUUGAAGACUACGACGUUGAUAGGUUGGAUGUGGAAGUGCGGUGACGCAUGAAGCUGACCAAUACUAAUUGCUCGUGAGGCUUGACUAUACAACACCCAAACAGUUG